rnacentral:rRNA from 1 species
AGUGAACGCUGGCGGUAGGCCUAACACAUGCAAGUCGAACGGCAGCACAGUAAGCGCUUGCUCUUACGGGUGGCGAGUGGCGGACGGGUGAGGCAUACAUCGGAAUCUUCUUUUUCGUGGGGGAUAACGUAGGGAAACUUCCGCUAAUACCGCAUAUGACCUACGGGUGAAAGCAGGGGAUCUUCGGACCUUGCGCGAUUGAAUGAGCCGAUGUCGGAUUAGCUAGUUGGCGGGGUAAAGGCCCACCAAGGCGACGAUCCGUAGCUGGACUGAGAGGAUGGUCAGCCACACUGGAACUGAGGCACGGUCCAGACUCCUACGGGAGGCAGCAGUGGGGAAUAUUGGACAAUGGGCGCAAGCCUGAUCCAGCCAUACCGCGUGGGUGAAGAAGGCCUUCGGGUUGUAAAGCCCUUUUGUUGGGAAAGAAAAGCAGCAGGUUAAUACCCCGCUGUUCUGACGGUACCCAAAGAAUAAGCACCGGCUAACUUCGUG